GGUCCCGUAGUGUAGCGGUUACCACGUCGCCCUGUCACGGCGAAGAUCGCGGGUUCGAUUCCCGUCGGGACCG
rnacentral:tRNA from 1 species